rnacentral:lncRNA from 1 species
CACAAUUAAACACAUAAAAUCCCUUGAGUUUGAUUAGGCAUUUUAGCAACCCACCAAAUUCUCCAAAAAUCCUAGACAUUCCCCCUAUACAUAUAUAUUAAUGACUAAAAGAACAGAUAAACUGAGCUCAAUUUUCUGGAUUGCCAGUAAAAUAAGCAGACGAAAUUUAAAUCUUCCCUGUCAAAUGAGGCAGCGCCAUAUUUUUGGUUCCUGCGCGGAAGAGGUGCACCAUUAGCCAAGGAUUCUCCCCCCUCCCCAGAUCAGAUUCACCACCAUUUAUCCUCC